rnacentral:lncRNA from 1 species
AUAUAGUAUUGAUUGAUACUGAUUAUCAACUUAACAGGAUCUAAAACCAUGGAUGAGAGGAGACACUUCUGGGCAUAUCUGAAGGAUUGCCUUGAUUAAGUUCACUGAUAUGGGAAGACUCACCACGGACGUGGGCAGCACCACUCUCUGGGCUGGGGUCCUGAACUGCACAGAAAAGGGGAUGUGAGCUGUGCACCAGCUCACACCGUUCCCUGCUUGCUGACUGUGGAUGAGAUAUGACCCACACUCCUCAAGUUCCUGCGGCCGUGGUGUCUUCACCAUCAUGUACUGUAUCCACACAAACUGUGGGCCUAAAUACACCCUCUCAUCUUCAAGUUGUUUUUAAUGUCACAGCCAUGAGAGAAAAAUAAGCUUCCACGUCAGUGUGUGAGGCAGGUGGGAGCCGUGACUGUCACACACAGCCAGGCCCAUCACACCACCUGAGCUCCUGGGCUACAUCGUUUGUUACCACGUCACUGUGGCACGAAAUUCUAUGAAGACAGACGUGCUUAUCUUCUACCAAGCACCCGGAAGACUGUGACCCCAAGGCUUGAGCAGCGCCAAGCUUGAAGCAGGUGUUAGAGAUUCAUAGGGACUGAUUCCGGGAGCCUUGAGGGACUGGAGAGAGAUGCUGGUAUAGAUCCCGGGUACCGGAUGCAGCAGAGCCAUGCUCGUGCUGGCACGGAAGAAAACACAGAAGAACUAGCCGUUUUCAAAGGAGAAAAUGAUGGAGCAGACACGUGCGUGCGCGUCUUCAAGAAUCUCUUCUUGUUCUGCAAUGAAGAAAUGAUCCAGGUGGGUGCGCUGUGGCUGCCGAGGAUAUCUUGGCCUCUUGCAGGUCUUGUGUGUACAGAUCCAUGUAUGGCUGUCCCGACGUGCUGGCUGCAGGGUCUGCAGAAACAGGACAUGCAAACACUGGGCAUCCCAGUGACCAUCUUAUAGAUAGUUUUCCCAGGGCCCAGAUAAGUAUUGCCCGCUGUAAGCUAGGCACAGAUUGGGGGCAUAAGCCAGUUGGCAGUCCAUUGUAUAGAUGAAGAAAGGAG